UCCUUCCGGUCUUGGUCCUUUUGCAGGCGGUCCAGUUGCCGGUGGCCCCGCUGGUGUGGGUGGAGCAUUUGGUGGCGGCUUCAGCGUUUCCGGUGGCGGUUUUGGCGGUGCUGGACGCGGAGGAGGCGGUAAAAAAUAUUAGACUGGUCCGAUAGAAGACAGUCGUUCACAAAAUAUCAGCGACCAUAAGGUGUCGAUGUCCACUGGCACCUUAUCUCACUACCCGACGAUGAAGACGACGGAUUGUUCAACCGACGAGAUUGUAUGCCCUCUGUAGCUUAUUGCUUUUUGAUUGAAAUUGCUUUUAAUCAAUAUUGUUUUCCCUUAUAUCCGCUUUGAUGCAUAUAUUUCCUACAUAUUUUCGCAAUAAAUUAUUGCUUGAAAAUGCCUUGCUUUUUUGGAAUCCGUAAUGAACAACUAUCAUACUCAAUAAAAACGAAACAACAACAA